UGAGGAAUAUUGGUCAAUGGGCGAGAGCCUGAACCAGCCAAGUAGCGUGCAGGAUGACGGCCCUAUGGGUUGUAAACUGCUUUUAUAAGGGAAUAAAGUGAGAGUCGUGACUCUUUUUGCAUGUACCUUAUGAAUAAGGACCGGCUAAUUCCGUGCCAGCAGCCGCGGUAAUACGGAAGGUCCGGGCGUUAUCCGGAUUUAUUGGGUUUAAAGGGAGCGUAGGCCGGAGAUUAAGCGUGUUGUGAAAUGUAGACGCUCAACGUCUGCACUGCAGCGCGAACUGGUUUCCUUGAGUACGCACAAAGUGGGCGGAAUUCGUGGUGUAGCGGUGAAAUGCUUAGAUAUCACGAAGAACUCCGAUUGCGAAGGCAGCUCACUGGAGCGCAACUGACGCUGAAGCUCGAAAGUGCGGGUAUCGAACAGGAUUAGAUACCCUGGUAGUCCGCACGGUAAACGAUGGAUGCCCGCUGUUGGUCUGAACAGGUCAGCGGCCAAGCGAAAGCAUUAAGCAUCCCACCUGGGGAGUACGCCGGCAACGGUGAAACUCAAAGGAAUUGACGGGGGCCCGCACAAGCGGAGGAACAUGUGGUUUAAUUCGAUGAUACGCGAGGAACCUUACCCGGGCUUGAAUUGCAGAGGAAGGAUUUGGAGACAAUGACGCCCUUCGGGGUCUCUGUGAAGGUGCUGCAUGGUUGUCGUCAGCUCGUGCCGUGAGGUGUCGGCUUAAGUGCCAUAACGAGCGCAACCCCUCUCCUUAGUUGCCAUCAGGUCAAGCUGGGCACUCUGGGGACACUGCCACCGUAAGGUGUGAGGAAGGUGGGGAUGACGUCAAAUCAGCACGGCCCUUACGUCCGGGGCUACACACGUGUUACAAUGGCAGGUACAGAGAGACGGUCCCUUGCAAAAUGGAUCAAAUCCUUAAAGCCUGUCUCAGUUCGGACUGGGGUCUGCAACCCGACCCCACGAAGCUGGAUUCGCUAGUAAUCGCGCAUCAGCCAUGGCGCGGUGAAUACGUUCCC
rnacentral:rRNA from 1 species